AGGGUGUAAACGCUGCAGACUUGGUGUUGGAAAUCCUUCGAGGGUAUUCAGUGCCGGAGAGAAGUUGUUAAGUCUGCUACUUGGGGAGUACGUCCGCAAGGAUGAAACUUAAAGGAUUGGCGGGGGGAGCACAACAACGGGUGGAGCCUGCGGUUUAAUGGACUCAACGCCGGACAACUCACCGGGGACGACAGCAAUAUGUAGGCCAGGCUGAAGACCUUGCCUGAAUCGCUGAGAGGUGGUGCAUGGCGUAGACGUCU
rnacentral:rRNA from 1 species